AACGAACGCUGGCGGCAGGCCUAACACAUGCAAGUCGAGCGAGCAUUUCGGUGCUAGCGGCGGACGGGUGAGUAACGCGUGGGAACGUGCCCUUUUCUGCGGAAUAGUCCUGGGAAACUGGGGGUAAUACCGCAUACGCCCUUUUGGGGAAAGAUUUAUCGGAGAAGGAUCGGCCCGCGUUGGAUUAGGUAGUUGGUGGGGUAAUGGCCCACCAAGCCGACGAUCCAUAGCUGGUUUGAGAGGAUGAUCAGCCACACUGGGACUGAGACACGGCCCAGACUCCUACGGGAGGCAGCAGUGGGGAAUCUUAGACAAUGGGGGCAACCCUGAUCUAGCCAUGCCGCGUGAGUGAUGAAGGCCUUAGGGUUGUAAAGCUCUUUCAGCUGGGUAGAUAAUGACGGUACCAGCAGAAGAAGCCCCGGCUAACUCCGUG
rnacentral:rRNA from 1 species